rnacentral:rRNA from 1 species
AGUGAACGCUGGCGGCGUGCCUAACACAUGCAAGUCGCGCGGGGUUCUGCAGAAUAUCGCAGAAUCUAGCGGCAAACGGGUGAGUAACACGUAGGAAACCUUCCUCAGAAUGGGGAAUAUCUCUGAGAAAUCGGAGUUAAUACCGCAUAAGACCACAAAUUUGGCAUCAAACAGGGGUCAAAGCAGCAAUGCGUUUUGAGAUGGUCCUGCGGCCUAUCAGCUAGUUGGUAGGAUAGUGGCCUACCAAGGCUAUGACGGGUAUCCGGCCUGAAAGGGUGGACGGACACACUGGAACUGAGACACGGUCCAGACUCCUAUGGGAGGCAGCAGUGGGGAAUUUUGGACAAUGGGGGAAACCCUGAUCCAGCAACGCCGCGUGGAGGAUGAAGGCCUUCGGGUUGUAAACUCCUUUUAGAGGGAAAGAAAUAAAUGACGGUACCCUCAGAAAAAGUCACGGCUAACUACGUGCCAGCAGCCGCGGUAAUACGUAGGUGGCGAGCGUUACUCGGAAUUACUAGGCGUAAAGUGUAUGUAGGCGGUUAAAUAAGUCUUUAGUAAAAUUUCCCGGCUUAACCGGGAAAGGUCUGGGGAUACUGUUUGACUUGAGUGUGGGAUAGGGAGGCGGAAUUCCUGGUGUAGCGGUGAAAUGCGUAGAUAUCAGGAGGAACACCGAUAGCGAAAGCAGCUUCCUGGCCCAAUACUGACGUUAAUAUACGAAAGCUAGGGUAGCAAACAGGAUUAGAUACCCUGGUAGUCCUAGCUGUAAACGAUGUUCACUAGAUGUGGGAGGUAUCGACCCUUUCCGUAUCGACGCUAACGCAUUAAGUGAACCGCCUGGGGAGUACGGCCGCAAGGUUGAAACUCAAAAGAAUUGACGGGGGCCCGCACAAGCGGUGGAAUAUGUGGUUUAAUUCGACGAAACGCGAAGAACCUUACCUGGGCUUGAACUGCUGAUAGUAAGAGCCGGAAACGGCGAUGAUCCGCAAGGAAAUUAGCAGAGGUGUUGCAUGGCUGUCGUCAGCUCGUGUCGUGAGAUGUUGGGUUAAGUCCCGCAACGAGCGCAACCCUUAUCUCAUGUUACCUGUAGUAAUACAGGGUCUCUGAAGAAACUGCCAUUGAUAAAAUGGAGGAGGGUGGGGAUGACGUCAGGUAGCAUGACCUUUAUGUCCAGGGCUACACACGUAUUACAAUGGCCGGUACAGAGGGCAGCGAUACCGCAAGGUGUAGCAAAUCCCUAAAAGCCGGCCUCAGUUCAGAUUGUGGGCUGCAAUUCGCCCGCAUGAAGUAGGAAUCGCUAGUAAUCGCAGAUCAGCAGGCUGCGGUGAAUACGUUCCCGGGCCUUGUACACACCGCCCGUCACACCACGAAAGUUAGUCAUAACAAAAGUCGUUGAGUUAACCGCAAGGAGACAGACGCCUAAGUUAUGGUUGGUAAUUGGGGUG